rnacentral:rRNA from 1 species
AGAGUUUGAUCCUGGCUCAGAUUGAACGCUGGCGGCAGGCUUAACACAUGCAAGUCGAGCGGUAACAUUUCUAGCUUGCUAGAAGAUGACGAGCGGCGGACGGGUGAGUAAUGCUUGGGAAUAUGCCUUAUGGUGGGGGACAGCAGUUGGAAACGACUGCUAAUACCGCAUAACGUCUACGGACCAAAGGGGGGGAUCUUCGGACCUCUCGCCAUUUGAUUAGCCCAAGUGAGAUUAGCUAGUUGGUAAGGUAAUGGCUUACCAAGGCGACGAUCUCUAGCUGGUUUGAGAGGAUGAUCAGCCACACUGGGACUGAGACACGGCCCAGACUCCUACGGGAGGCAGCAGUGGGGAAUAUUGGACAAUGGGCGAAAGCCCGAUCCAGCAAUACCGCGUGUGUGAAGAAGGCCUGAGGGUUGUAAAGCACUUUCAAUAGAGACGAAAAGCCUGGGAUUAAUACUCCCGGGUCUUGACUUAACCUAUAGAAGAAGCACCGCUAACU